UGAAGCCCAGCUUGCUGGGUGGAUUAGUGGCGAACGGGUGAGUAACACGUGAGUAACCUGCCCUUAACUCUGGGAUAAGCCUGGGAAACUGGGUCUAAUACCGGAUAGGAGCGCCUACCGCAUGGUGGGUGUUGGAAAGAUUUAUCGGUUUUGGAUGGACUCGCGGCCUAUCAGCUUGUUGGUGAGGUAAUGGCUCACCAAGGCGACGACGGGUAGCCGGCCUGAGAGGGUGACCGGCCACACUGGGACUGAGACACGGCCCAGACUCCUACGGGAGGCAGCAGUGGGGAAUAUUGCACAAUGGGCGCAAGCCUGAUGCAGCGACGCCGCGUGAGGGAUGACGGCCUUCGGGUUGUAAACCUCUUUCAGUAGGGAAGAAGCGAAAGUGACGGUACCUGCAGAAGAAGCACCGGCUAACUACGUGCCAGCAGCCGCGGUAAUACGUAGGGUGCGAGCGUUAUCCGGAAUUAUUGGGCGUAAAGAGCUCGUAGGCGGUUUGUCGCGUCUGUCGUGAAAGUCCGGGGCUUAACCCCGGAUCUGCGGUGGGUACGGGCAGACUAGAGUGCAGUAGGGGAGACUGGAAUUCCUGGUGUAGCGGUGGAAUGCGCAGAUAUCAGGAGGAACACCGAUGGCGAAGGCAGGUCUCUGGGCUGUAACUGACGCUGAGGAGCGAAAGCAUGGGGAGCGAACAGGAUUAGAUACCCUGGUAGUCCAUGCCGUAAACGUUGGGCACUAGGUGUGGGGACCAU
rnacentral:rRNA from 1 species